rnacentral:rRNA from 1 species
GCUGGAAUCGCUAGUAAUCGCGGAUCAGCACGCCGCGGUGAAUACGUUCCCGGGCCUUGUACACACCGCCCGUCACACCAUGGGAGCCGGUAAUACCCGAAGUCAGUAGUCCAACCUCGUGAGGACGCUGCCGAAGGUAGGAUUGGCGACUGGGGUGAAGUCGUAACAAGGUAAC